rnacentral:rRNA from 1 species
GGAGUUAGCCGGUGCUUCUUCUGUGAGUGAUGUCCUUCCUGCCGGCUAUUAACCCGCAGGCCUUCUUCCUCACUGAAAGUGCUUUACAACCCGAAGGCCUUCUUCACACACGCGGCAUGGCUGGAUCAGGGUUGCCCCCAUUGUCCAAUAUUCCCCACUGCUGCCUCCCGUAGGAGUCUGGGCCGUGUCUCAGUCCCAGUGUGGCUGAUCAUCCUCUCAGACCAGCUACGGAUCGUCGCCUUGGUGAGCCGUUACCUCACCAACCAGCUAAUCCGACAUAGGCUCAUCCGAUAGCGCGAGGCCCGAAGGUCCCCCGCUUUCCCCCGUAGGGCGUAUGCGGUAUUAGCCUGGGUUUCCCCAGGUUAUCCCCCACUACCGGGCAGAUUCCUAUGCAUUACUCACCCGUCCGCCGCUCGCCACCAGGGAGCAAGCUCCCCGUGCUGCCGCUCGACUUGCAUGUGUUAGGCCUGCCGCCAGCGUUCAAUCUGAGCCANAGAUCCAAACGUCUGA